rnacentral:rRNA from 1 species
UUGACCUCGGAUCAGGUAGGACUACCCGCUGAACUUAAGCAUAUCAAUAAGCGGAGGAAAAGAAACCAACAGGGAUUGCCCCAGUAACGGCGAGUGAAGCGGCAACAGCUCAGAUUUGGAAUCUGGCCCCCAGGGCCCGAGUUGUAAUCUGGAGAGGAUGCUUCUGGCGCGGCGCCUUCCGAGUUCCCUGGAACGGGACGCCGGAGAGGGUGAGAGCCCCGUACGGUCGGACGCCUAGCCUUUGUGAAGCUCCUUCGACGAGUCGAGUAGUUUGGGAAUGCUGCUCAAAAUGGGAGGUAAAUUUCUUCUAAAGCUAAAUAUUGGCCAGAGACCGAUAGCGCACAAGUAGAGUGAUCGAAAGAUGAAAAGCACUUUGAAAAGAGGGUUAAAAAGUACGUGAAAUUGUUGAAAGGGAAG